rnacentral:rRNA from 1 species
UACGUAGGUGGCAAGCGUUGUCCGGAUUUAUUGGGUUUAAAGGGUGCGUAGGCGGCCCUGUAAGUCAGUGGUGAAAUACUCCAGCUUAACUGGAGGGGUGCCAUUGAUACUGCAGGGCUUGAGUGGAGUCGAAGUAGGCGGAAUUGACGGUGUAGCGGUGAAAUGCUUAGAUAUCGUCAAGAACACCGAUAGUGAAGACAGUUUACUAGGCUUCUACUGACGCUGAGGCACGAAAGUGUGGGGAUCAAACAGG